GACGAACGCUGGCGGCGUGCUUAACACAUGCAAGUCGAGCAGUAAGGCCCUUUCGGGGGGUACACGAGCGGCGAACGGGUGAGUAACACGUGGGUGACCUGCCCUUAGCUCUGGGAUAAGCCUGGGAAACUGGGUCGUAAUACCGGAUAUGACUCCAUAACGCAUGUUGUGGGGUGGAAAGCCUUGUGCGGCUAGGGAUGGGCCCGCGGCCUAUCAGCUUGUUGGUGGGGUGAUGGCCUACCAAGGCGACGACGGGUAGCCGGCCUCGAGAGGGCGACCGGCCACACUGGGACUGAGACACGGCCCAGACUCCUACGGGAGGCAGCAGUGGGGAAUCUUGCGCAAUGGGCGAAAGCCUGACGCAGCGACGCCGCGUGGGGAGU
rnacentral:rRNA from 1 species